UCGAGAAUCUUCCGCAAUGGACGCAAGUCUGACGGAGCGACGCCGCGUGCGGGAUGAAGGUCUUUGGAUUGUAAACCGCUGUCACGCGUUAUGAAUGCGCAACAGCGAAUACCUGUUGCGUUGACAAAGGCGCGAGAGGAAGUCACGGCUAACUCUGUGCCAGCAGCCGCGGUAAUACAGAGGUGGCAAGCGUUGCUCGGUAUCACUGGGCUUAAAGGGCGCGUAGGCGGUGCGGUACGGUUUCGGUGAAAUCCCUCGGCCCAACCGAGGAACAGCCGGAGCUACGGCCGGACUAGACGGCAUCAGGGGACAGUGGAACUCCCGGUGGAGCGGUGAAAUGCGUAGAUAUCGGGAGGAACGCCGGUGGCGAAAGCGACUGUCUGGGGUGCCUGUGACGCUGAGGCGCGAAAGCCAGGGGAUCAAACGGGAUUAGAUACCCCCGUAGUCC
rnacentral:rRNA from 1 species